ACUGUUUAUGAUGAAAUGACUUAUUCAGAGGACAGAUACUGUGAAUAUGUGAGCUGUGCUAUGACCAGCUGGCCUAUUUUGGAUUUCAGCCGCAAUACACAGAUGGAAAGUAUGUUUCUAGAUUGCAUGAUUUCUUUUUAAAAUCUGCUUUUUUUUUUUUUUUUUUUUAAUCAGCAAUUACUGAGGUUACAGAGAAAGUGUGGCAGUUCCUUUGAAGCUUAAAGAGAGUUCAAAGAUCAUUCAAACACCAUUUUCUGAAUGUUUUUCUGGAGACCUGCACAUUUUUUGCAACCCCACUGCUGAAAUCUCAAACAGAUUGACUGUAAGACAAAGAAACCUUGUGUCUUUGGGAUUACUUGAUUGCUGACCUCUUUGUUCCAAUACCUGAAAACACUUGCAAACUCAGAACUCCUGACUGAGAUGGAAUACAACUUUUGUAAUAUAUCCAGUAUUGGCUUACCAAUUUCAAGUGACAGAAGCAAGGUUCCUGUCAGGGAACUACCCAUCAGACAACAACCUGCAGCAAACAAACAGUUCAACAUUUCACGAGUCAUAUUCAUUUAUAUGUUGCAGAUGAACGUUUGUGAUUGAUUCUCUAGCAAUGGAACAGGUAAUUUUCAUGCAAAUGAAUAAUUGAACCAACCUUGCCAUCUUCAGUAUCUUCAGACUUAGUUUGAAGCAACCACUUUCAGCUGGAAUGAGAGUACUUAAUGGAAUAGACAUCACUGCUUCAUAGCUCAUUCAGCCAAAAUUGUCUUCUGCUUGAAUUGGCCAGUGUGCAUACCACAGAGAAGCAAUGCUAAGUACCUUCUGGUGGAAUCCCUAGAAAGGUUUUGGAAAAUCUCAGAAUGCAUAACAAGUUGCAGUGAAAGCACUAUAAUCAUGAAGUCAUCCUUGUAAUUCUAUGGUACUUUGUUUAAUUUUCCAAAGCAUUAAGGAAAUUCCAGCUGAAAACUCUCUGUAGAAAGCCUGCCUGUCUGUGAGAGGUUGGGAGAGAUAAUAUUGUAAUUUUGAUAACUUUCCACUGUCUAUUACAGUGAAGAGAAAGAACAGUAAGUACCCUGGUAACAGCAGGCACUAGAAAGAUGCAGAGGAAAAAAACCCAUCAAAGAAUAUAAGGUGAGCUUGAGGGAAUCACAUAGGUGUAGUUGGACCUCCCCUAUCUAAUCCCAUCAAGAUUUCACACCUUCCUCUCCCAUUCCUGAUCAUGAAUAGUAGAACCACUAGGAAAGAUAUUUUGUGUCAAAAAUGGUUAGCAACUAAAUACAGCAGAAUAGGUUAUUCAAUAUCACAUGUGAAUUAAUUGGAUCAUAUUAUACACAAACUUGAGAAGUUUACAGAUUUUGUUUGUCUUCACUGUGUAAUAUGAACAAAAGCUUGUACAUUGCAAGCAAAUCACUAGGAUACUUGCCUACAGCUUCAAGCAUCAGAUAAACAAUUGGUUUGGCAUUUUCAAAGGACCUUAACUGGUUGCCAUGCCUCUUCAAUGUUUCUGUAUUAAAAAUAUACUUAUCU
rnacentral:lncRNA from 1 species